rnacentral:lncRNA from 1 species
CUUUAAUUUCCUUCUAAUUCUCUUCCUAAACUCUUGUCUUAAAGUGGGGCAGACUUGUCUUAAUUUUAAGACAAUGACUUAACAAGACAAGGAAGAGGACUAUCGGAAAGAGUUGGGAAUGUCUUGAACUGAUCUGCCGCCUCCUAUUUAUAGCAACAGAAGGGGUGUAGAAGGGGUCUAGAUACAUUUUCACGGAGUCCCUUAAUCAGCGUAUUAGAAAUUAAGAGUCUUAUUUGAGAAGGACUUUUAAUUAUAAGAUACGAUGAUUCAGCCUUCUCUCACAUCCCUUGCACGUACCAGCAAUUGGGAGACACCAUAUGCACCUCAAACCAUCUCAGAAAAUUCUGAAAUUUUGCCGUGUGGUAGCCACUUGAAUCAGGAUUCUAAUGGCACAAAAAUCAAAGCAUGACAAUAUCCCAAUCGUGAGAAAGAAAUGCGUGAAGUGGCGACUCUUCGCAUUUCUCACUACUGCGAGUGCGCAGAUCUUUGGGGCAUCUCACACCCCAUCUGGCCAUGGCACAUUUUAAACUUUAUGCCUUGCAGAUAGAGGGUUGAGAGGGCUUCAUCAUAGGCAUGGAGAUCAGAUAAGAAGAUUUAAAACCCCUUCAUCGAUCAAAAUAAAUGCAGCCUUAUCAUUUUGUGCGCUUGACUUGAUAGAGUCCUAACCGACUUGGACUCUAUAUAUGGCGCCCCAAAUGGCUGAAAAAUAUCCAAUAAAAUCUAGAUAAAUCUGGUCCAAGUCAGAACCUAACCCAAUUUAAUUAAUAGACCAAUUGGGUUAGCCAAUUCAAUAAGAUUUUGACCAAACCAGCUCGAUUUAGGAGCUAGAGUUUGUGUCAUAUGUGCUAGCAUGUUUUUUGACAACCCUAGUUGGUUUUUUUGGUCCAACCAACCUACCAAAAUCGGUUCUUAAAUAAUUUUCUAAUGUGUGUGAUCUUAUGGGUUCUACAUCUAGCCAGCAGUAGGUCCGGAUGCAUGUUGACCUGAUUAGAUUAGAUUCCAUCUAAUCGAUUUAGGUCAAAUCUAUGUCAACUCGAGUUGUCAAAUUAGAACUUUUUCUAAUUGACUCAUAAAUUAAUCACUUCAAUUCAUGAAAUCUACAAGACAUAAUUGACGUCUAGCAACGUGUCAUGCCUACCCAGAAGAUGUGAAAUUUGGUAAAAAUUAUUAAAAUAUCCUUCAUUGGUAAGUUACCGUAUAAUUCAAUCUUUCGAUCAUCCUGCAUCUCGAAUAUAUUCAUGAGUAUAGAAUUAUGUCAAACUCAAAUAUAUAUUCCUAUUGAUUCAUCGUCAAUCAAUGAUAACUCUAAUGAAGAAGUAGAAAUCAUUUCUAAUCUUCAUACUGCUUUGGUCAAAGAUUUCUUGAGUUAUCUAGAGAUGAGAAUACAUAGGAUGUCUUCUCUUACUCGGAGCGAUCGAUUCUUUAUUGAUUUACUCACAACCUUCAUACAUAAUCCAUCAAAUCCAGAAUAUCUCAUUUAUGACUUUGGUCAUGAUUGAGUAUGAACCAAAAUAUGGAUUCACGUGCAUAAGAUUUCAUGGUGAUCUCAGAUUUAAGGAUCACUUACACAACUCCUAUUUAAAGAACUAUUUUUUGACAUGUAAGGCUUUCAUAAGAUAUUUUCUCGAUGGAUCAAAUUAGUGUACUCAUAUCCUAAUGAGCAUCCAUAUCCUUGUAUUAGUAUUCCUACAUAAGUGGUUGUGAAAUCAACCACCCUCUCCAUCGAGCAUACAUAGGAUGUGCUAGUCUUUUUGGAUUCAUUGAUCUCCGACUCAAUGAUCCAACGACUAGGAUUAUUUUAGAUUAGAAUUUUAGGAUUUUAGAUCUCACUGACAUGAACCCUACAUGUCCAUAAAAUCAUUGCUCUAAUCUAUGGGAUUCAUCAUAAUCUUAAAAAUUAUUAAGACACAGCAAAUGAUGAAUCAAAAAAAUAUCUCUUUAUUAUUGAUUAAUAAUAAAUAUCAUACAUGAGUUGGGAGUAAUUAUAAAAAAAAUCCUAUCACAUAUCAAAUGCGAUUGGCUUGCAGGAUAAUUUUUUCAGUCUCCCAUUUGCACUAAAGCCAAUCACCCUUGUAUUUAACAUCCAUACAAUCAAGGUGGCGAUCAAGUUGCUGUUGAGAAAGUGCUUUAGUGAAUGGGUCUGUUGUGUUCUUCGUAUCUACUCGUUCGAUGACUACGUCUUGUCUUUCAACAAUCUCACGAACGAGGUGGAAGCGCCUUAGGAUGUGUUUGGACUUUUGGUAAGAUCUUGGUUCCUUAGCUUGUGCAACAGCUCUAGUGUUAUUACAAAAUAAUGGUAUCGCAUGUUGAAUCUCAAGAACUACGCCCAAUUCGGUGAUGUAUUUUUUCAUCCAGAAAGCUUUCUUAGCUGCUUUACUAACGACAAUAUAUUCUGUCUCAGUGACCGAGUUAGCUACAGUUUGCUGUUUGGUACUUUUUCAACUCACUGCACCACCAUUCAAAAUAAAUACAUAUCUUGAUAUGGAUUUACAAUCAUCUGGAUCUGAUUGAAAACUAGAGUUAGUAAAGCCUUCUAGUUUCAACUCUAAUCCUUCAUAAACUAGAAAAACAUCUUUAGUUCUUCUAAGAUACUUUAGAAUAUUUUUCACAGCUUUCCAAUGAUCCUCCUUCGGAUUAGUCUGAAACCUACUUACUAUGCCUAUGGUAUAAGCAAUAUCAGGUCUGGUACAUAAUAUGGUAUACAUGAUAGAUUCUACAGCCGAAGCAUAAAGAAUUCUACUCAUCAUUUGUCUCUCUUCAGGUUUCUCUCUUCAGGUGUCUUAAGAGACAUCUUCUUAAAGAGAUGUAUGCCUUGACUCAUAGGCAAGUAACUUCUUUUACUUACAUCCAUGUUGAAUCUUUUCAACACCAAGUCAAUAUACCUAGAUUGGGAUAAGCUAAGCAAUCUCUUAGAUCUAUCUCUAUAGAUCUUUAUAUCUAAUAUAUAGGAUGCUUCUCCUAAAUCUAUCAUGAAAAAUUUUUUAGAUAGCCAAACUUUGAUCGAUUGUAACAUCGGGAUAUCAUUCCCAAUGAUAAGUAUGCCAUCAAUAUACAAGACUAAGAAGACUGUGGUAUUUUCACUUAUCUUCUUAUAUACACAUGACUCAUAAAUAUUUUUGAUAAAAUCAAACUCCUUUAUGGUUUCAUUAAAAUGGAUGUUCCCACUCCUUGAGACUUGCUUCAAUCUAUAAAUGGAUCUCUUUAGCUUGCAUACUUGAUUUGAUCUCCCACUUGAGACAAACCCCUCUGACCGUGAUAUAUAAACUUCUUCCUCAAGAUUCUCAUUGAGAAAAGUAGUUUUUAUCUCUAUUUGUCAGAUUUCAUAAUCAUAAUAUGCAGCUAUAGCAAGCAUAAUUCGAAUGACUUGAGCAUUGCUGCUGGUGAAAAAAUUUCAUCAUAGUCAAUUUUCUGUCUUUGCUUGCCAUCAGCCUAGCCUUGUAGGUUUCUACUUGACCAUCUGCUCCAAUCUUCUUCUUGAAGACCCAUUUGCACCCUAUUGGGGUUACACCCUCAGGUGCAUCAAUCAAAGUCUAUACUUGGUUGGAGUACAUGGAGUCCAUCUCAGAUUUCAUGGCUUCAUGCCAUUUAUUAGAGUCCCUACUCUGGAUAGCAUCCGUAUAGGUCACAGGAUCAUCAUCCUGAAUGAUAUGGGCUUCAUUGUCAUUUCCAAUGACAAAACUAUAUCUUAAAGGUACAUUCCAUAUUCUUUCUGAUCUUCGGAGAGGUGUGUUUUGUGGAUGUUCUUGAUCAACAAGUUCAAUUGGUUUAGGAAUUUCAUAUUGAGGAUCAGAUGAGGUAGAUUGUAGGUUUUGAAAUUCACUUAGUUCAAUCAUCCUCCCACUUUCCUUUUGUUGGACAAAUUUUUUUUCAAGAAAAUAAUGUCUACUGACAACAAUUUUUUGUUUAGUAGGAUGAUAAAAGAGGUAUCUAAUACCUUCUUGAGGAUAACCUAUAAAUCUACAUUUGUCAGCCCUAGCAUUUAUGUUCAAAAGUAUUUUUGACAUAAGCAAAAUAUCCCUAAAUCUUAAAAUAUUUAUGAUUUGACUUUUUUUUAUUUUCAUAACUCAUAUGGAGUGCUGGUUACUAACUUAGAUGGUACUCUAUUCAAGAUGUAAGCAGCUGUUUCUAGGGCAUAUCAUUAGAAAGAUACGAAAAGAUCCGUGAAGCACAUUAUGGACUGCACCAUAUCUAAUAAAAUGCGAUUUCUCCUUUCUGCUUCACCAUUUAACUAUGGCGUAUAAGGAAGUGUCCAUUCAGAGAGAAUUUUAUAUCCUUUAAGAUGAUCAAAAAAUUUAUUGGAUAAGUAUUCGCCACCUCGAUCAGAUUGAAGGAUUUUAAUACUUUUUUCAAUUUGAUUUUCGACCAUCUUUUGAUAUUCUUUAAACUUAUCAAAGACCUCGGAUUUUGUUUCAUGAGAUACACAUAUCCAUAUUUUGAUAAGUCAUCUGUAAAAGUUAUAAAAUAAGAAUAUCCAUCUCUAGCUUGAGUUGUCAUAGAUCCAUAAAUAUUUGAAUGUAUAAGACCUAACAAUUCAUUUGUCCUUUCUCCAUGUCCUGUGAAUGGAGUUUUGGUUAUCUUAUCCAUGAGAUAAGAUUUAUAAGUUUCAAAUGAUUCAAAAUCAUUAGAAUCAAAUAAUUCUUUUUUGUACAACUAGUGUAAUUUUGACUCACUAAUAUGAUCCAAUCGGCAAUGCUAGAGAUAUGAAUUAUUCUCAUCAUCUCUCUUUCUUUUUUUAUUAUUAUCAAUAAGAAAAAUAUUAUAAUUGAGCAGAAGAGUAAAGAGACCAUUAUCCAUAUAUGCAUUGCCCAAAAAUUCAUUAAAAUAGAAAAUAAAGCAACAAUUACUCUUAGCCUUUAUUUUAUAUCCAUAUUCUAAUAAUAAGGGUACAGAAAUAAUAUUUCUAAUGACAUUGGGUAUGUAAUAAUAGUCUUGUAACUCCAAUGUCUUGCCAGAUGGCAAUGACCAUAUACAGGUGCCCACAGCUUCUGCCUUAAUGGGUUCACCAUUCGCGUCAUAAAGCUUGAAGUCAUCUUUGUUUAAACUUCUAAUUUUUUGUAGUUCUUGUAAUGAUUUGUAUAUUUGAGACCCACAUGCAGUAUCCAAUAUCCAUGAAUUAAAAGUUGAAGCACUCAAUGAUAAACUAAUUUGUAUCAUGUACAAACCUUUCGAUGCUCCACUUGCAUCAUGCUUCAAACUUGCAAGGUAGCUCUUGCAAUUCAUCUUCCAGUGCCCCUGCUUAUCGCAGUGAUAAUAGGCAUCAUUUGUGAAGUCUUUCUUCACUUUCUUCUUCUUCUGCAUGCUACUUUUAGGGUUUUGCUCUCUUAGAAUCCUUUCUAUCUACCAUCAUCCUCUUCUUCUCAAUUAGAAGAAGAGGAGCUUUUUCUGAUUUGAAAUGGCUCUCAACUGUUUUCAAUAUGUUUAACAACUCUGGUAGGGUAGUAUUUAGUUUGUUCAUAUGGUAAUUUAUGACAAACUGAGAGAACAAAUCAGGGAGUGACUGCAGGAUCAAGUUCUGAUUCAGCUCUCCAUUCAUGACAAACCUCAAUUGACUUAAGCGGGUGAUUAAGUCAAUAAUCUUUAGAACAUGGGUCUGCAUAGAUGAGCUCUCACUCAUUCUGACUCAUAUCUCAUAUUGAGCAGUCCUGCUUUGCUCUCCAUAUAACUCUUUAAGAUUGAGUAAUAUGGACUGAGGUUUCAGUCCUUAUGUUGCUUCUGCAACUCAUUGCUUAUUGAGGCCAAUAUGAUACAUUUGACAGUCAAACUGUCAUUUUGUCACAUCUUAUAUGUGGCCCUUUCUUCUGUAGCAUCUUCUCCGAUUGGCUCGGGAUCCAGAGAGUUGAGGAUGUAGGAGACUUUCUCCUGAGUUAACACGAUCCUUAAAUUCCUUAAUCAAUCCACAUAAUUAGGACCGAUCAAUUUGUUGGUAUCUAAAAUGCCCUGCAGUGAUAGUGAAGAAGCCAUUGAAAUUAAUCUACAUUAAAUAAAGAACAACAUAUAAGCAGAUCACUCAAAAUGACAAACACAACUAAAUGAGGACUUCAUAAAUCUAAUUGUAUCUCUCACUAUUUUAUUACGAAUACCAUUGCCCUCACCUAUGGUAAAUGAGAAACCCUACCUUAAUUUCUUUAGUAGGGUUGAGAUCUCAAUUCCUGGCAAAUGUCUUGUGUUACACAACAAAUAUUCAUGAGUUCAAGGGUAGAAAAUUUCUUUUUCCAAUUGCAACCAAUGUAAUUCUCAACAUAACUCCUACUUCUAAGACACUUGUAGUCUUGUGUUACACAAUAAACUAUGAUGUCUUAGUUGAGUCAGAUCCUUCAUUUUUUUAUAUAGCCAUAUUUGAAUAAUAUUGCCUUUGUGUGACACAACAAAGCAACAUCAUCAAACAUGCCAUAAAGCAUUAUUUGCACUAAGACAAUCUCACAUCAAUCCCUAUAGUAAGUCUUGUGUUACACAACAAACCUACCAUAGUUUUUGAUAUGAUUUUGACCUAGCAUGAAGGAAGACAUUAGUAGUGUCCUGAUCAUUAAGCAUUUUCAAUUCAAGAUUUAAAUAAAUCGAAUUGGCCAAGUGGAAGAGAGGUGGGAGGCCCUCUGUUCUUGCCUUAGAUACCAAAAGAUUUGACCAAGUAAGAAAUGAACUUAAUUAAAAACCACCAGUUCUUUAUCUUCUUAGAACCACUUUUCUAGACACCAAUUAAUCACUCAUUUUUUAAAUGGAUUUGCUUUUGAUUUUCAACACUACAACUAAAUAUAAUUUUUAAGAGGACUUUAAUGGUCUCAAAUACACAUCCUAUCUUACUUUAUCAAAUUAUAUCUCAUACUAUAUCAUAUUAUGAAAAACAUAACAUGAUAAUUAUAACAAUAGCAUGCUGUGCCAGAUGUGUAGUAUUUACAUCAUUAUUAUAGACAAUCUAAUUUCAGAAUGAUGACUAACUUAUGCUAAACAUAUCACUAAUAUUGAUUAGGGUUUAUGUGAAACACCUAAUCAGUGAGAAUCAACAAUACAUAAUGUAUUACUAGUAUGCUACUUAUAUGAACAUGACUUGCAUAUCAUAUAUCAUAACGUCAAAUUGACUAUUAAUUGAAUCAAUCAAGGUUGCUUUGAUACCACUGUUGGGUUCAGAUAGCGCAACGGAAUAGUGGAGUUCAAAAUUUAUGGUCAUGAAAUCCAUAACACCCGAAACUCUAGACCCAAGAUCUCUUGACUAAUUGCAAUUAAUGAACAACUAAUAAAGCAAUUAAGAAAUAGUUUAGAUAAAUACCUCUUAUGCUAAAUUCCCAAAUCUCCACAGACACACAAGCGUGUAUGCCCUCCACAGGUGAUCCAUAAGGAAAUUGCUCCAAGAACAGGACUCUUUGCGCUAAAACUUUGUUGAUGAGUUCUAACCAAUAGAACUCGGUUGGACCCAAUUUGAUCAAACCCACAUUUUGACUUAGACUUGACCUCUCUUUGACUUGGAUUUGGACUCCUAAACCCUCUCUUUCUUCCUUUAAUUUCUUUCUACUUCUCUUCCUAAACUCUUGUCUUAAAAUGGGACAGAUUUGUCUUAAUUCUAAGAUAAUGUCUUAACAAGACAAAGAAAAGAACUAUCGGAAAGAGUUGGGCAUGCCUUGAAUUGAUCUGCCGCCCUCUAUUUAUAGCAACAGAAGGGGCAUAGAAGGGGUCCAGAUAUACUCUUUCAUGGAGUUCCUUGAUCAGCGUAUCAGAAAUUAAGAGUCUUAUUGAGGACUCUUAAUUCUAAGAUAUGGUGAUUCAGCCUUCUCUCGCGUCCCCUGCGCAUACCAGUAAUUAGGAGAUGCCAUAUGCACCUCAAACCAUCUCAGAAAAUUUUGAGAUUUUGCCACAUGGUAGCCACUUGAAUCAGGAUUCUAAUGGCACAAAAAUUAAAGCAUGACAAUAUCCCAAUCGUGAGAAAGAAAUGCGUGAAGUCGCGACUCUUCGCGUUUUUCACUGCUGUGUGCGUGCACAUCUUUAGGGCAUCUCACGCCCCAUCUGGCCAUGGCACACUUUAAACUUUGUACCAUGCAGAUAGAGGGUUGAGAGGGCUUCAUCAUAGGCAUGGAGAUCAGAUAAGAAGAAGAUUUAAAACCCCUUCACCGAUCAAAAAAAAUUCAGUCUUAUCAUUUUAUGUGCCUGACUUGAUAGAGUCCUAACCAACUUGGAUUUUAUAUAUGGCGCCCCAAAUGGUUGAAAAAUAUCCAAUAAAAUCCAGAUAGAUCUGGUCCAAGUCCGAACCUAACCUAAUUUAAUUAAUAGCCCAAUUGGGUUAGCCAAUUCAACA